rnacentral:rRNA from 1 species
AGUGAACGCUGGCGGUAGGCCUAACACAUGCAAGUCGAACGGCAGCACAGUAAUAGCUUGCUCUUACGGGUGGCGAGUGGCGGACGGGUGAGGAAUACAUCGGAAUCUACUUUUUCGUGGGGGAUAACUUAGGGAAACUUACGCGAAUACCGCAUACGACCUACGGGUGAAAGCAGGGGAUCUUCGGACCUUGCGCGAUUGAAUGAGCCGAUGUCGGAUUAGUUAGUUGGCGGGGUACAGGCCCACCAAGCCGACGAUCCGUAGCUGGUCUGAGAGGAUGAUAAGAGACACUGGAACAGAGAGACGGGCCAGACUCCUACGGGAGGACGCAGUGGGGAAUAUUGGAAAAUGGGAGCAAGCCUGAUCCAGCAAUACCGCGUGGGUGAAGAAGGCAUUCGGGUUGUAAAGCACUUUUGUUGGGAAAGAAAAGCAGCAGGUUAAUAACAAGCUGUUCUGACGGUACCCAAAGAAUAAGCACCGGCUAACUUCGUG